GAUGAAGAACGUAGCGAAAUGCGAUACGUAAUGUGAAUUGCAGAAUUCAGUGAAUCAUCGAGUCUUUGAACGCACAUUGCGCCCCCUGGUAUUCCGGGGGGCAUGCCUGUCCGAGCGUCAUUGCUGCCCUCAAGCACGGCUUGUGUGUUGGGCCUCCGUCCUCCUCCCGGGGGACGGGCCCGAAAGGCAGCGGCGGCACCGCGUCCGGUCCUCGAGCGUAUGGGGCUUCGUCACCCGCUCUUGUAGGCCCGGCCGGCGCUUGCCGACACAUCAAUCUUUUUUCCAGGUUGACCUCGGAUCAGGUAGGGAUACCCGCUGAACUUAAGCAUAUCAAUUAGCGGAGGA
rnacentral:misc_RNA from 1 species